UCCAGCUGCGCUGCGACUGGCGUGCCACGGGCUGCUGCCGCCUCACGUUGCGCCAGGGGAGGCUCAGGUUGCAUUUAGGAACAAUUUCUUGGAAAGAGCGGUGAGGCACUGACGCAGGCUGCCGGGGAGUCACCGUCACUGGGCGCGUGUGGAUGCGGCAGUGAGAGCUCCAUGCUGUUCCUUUGGUCCCAUCGCUGUCACCAGAGGGAAGAGCUCAGCACAGCCCUUCUACUUCCCAUGAGGAAGCUAUAGGCCCACAAUGAGGUCUCUCCUCAGUACCCUCUUCUCUUAACUGAACAAACCAAGCAACAUCAGCAGCUCUUCAUACCACUUGCCCUCCACACCCUUCAUCACUGAAUGUUGCUGGUUUACUAGUGUAAAUCUGUUACAGAAGAAAUCUGGAAGAAUCCCAUCCAACGAAUCCCUUUUCGAAUGAAGACUUGAUAGAAGCCGUCAGGAUCACCACUACCACCACAGAAGGUUCCGAGAAGAAGAUGCAGACAUGCCAUUUACUACUGACUCCACCAAUCUUCUCAUUCAGCAGAACGGUCUGAUGAGAAAAGAAGUGCACAAGCUCCACCUAAAAGACCCAGCAUGUGGCCGCAGCCUCACCCAGCUGCAUUGUUGACCACAGACAUUUUCUUCUUGGACCCCCUUUGAAGGCAGUGGCAUCAACCCUUGAGUUGCAUCAUGGUGCUACUUGGCAGUGCCCAUAUCUGCGGCCACAUCUCAUGCCAUUCUAUUUAGAAAUGCCAGGAUCUAUGCAUCUAAUGCAUCUGUGGCCUCCAGAUUGUCAGUUCACCCCAUCAAAAAUAUACGGGUGGAAAUCAAAGUGAAGACCUUUAGGCACAGCCAAAAGUUCUAGCCUUGUCUCUUGAAGAGGCAAAGAAAUACACUUUUUUCAGUGGUGUUGAAGAAAUGUUACCAGACCUGGGGAAGAAAGGGAAUUUGGUUUUUAGAACAUCUUUGUCACUUUCAGUAUAUGGGGAAUUUUUGAAUCUUACUCCCCAUCUUAUGUUAUUAUCUCUUAUUCUCCACCUUAUUUAUUUAAAAAAUAUAUAUAUUCAACAGUUAACUGGAAAGAAACACACACACAAAAAAAAAAACAAAAAAAACCAAAACCUAACACAGUUGAAGAGACACUAGAUACUGACAUGGAAGCUCUGGCUUUGGUCUGUCAAUCAGUUCUACUCCUGAGCUGCUUUGUGCUGGCCAGAGGAGUUCUCUGAGCCUGCCAUUAUAUGCUGUGUGUCCCAGCCUUCAAUGAUUCCCUUGUGGAAGAAGGAAGAGGGUCAAGGAGGCAGAGGACCCUUUUCCUGGGGGUGGCUCCUCCGUGCCUUUUUGCUUGCCGGAAAGAAAGGCUGCCCAUUGGGCACAGGGGCUGCCUUCUAGCUGCCAUCCUGUGCCCUCUAGGGGGCCUCC